GAUCAUCAUCUUCAUUCUCCUAGGCAAAUGAAAAGGAAGAGAAAGAAUAAAUGGCUGCUCAAUAGGAAACUCCCUGACCUAUUUACAGCAGCUUCAGAAAGACCUUGAAUUAGCAGGUAAAGUUUUAAAGAAAACCGACACGGCCUCUAUUCACAAUCACCAUGCAAGACUCUACUGCUGAAGAAAACACAUGUUCACUCUUUGGAUGUCAUUGCGCACACCAUGUUUGGAGGAGAAAUGGCACUGCACAUCGACCUAAAAACACCAUACCAACAGUGAAGUUUGGAGGUGGGAACAUCAUCGUGUGGGGCUGUUUUUCAACAUAUGGUACUGGCAGACUUCAUAUAAUUAAAGAAAAGAUGAACAACGAAAUGUACAGGGACAUUACUGACAAGAAUCUGCUGCCAUCUACCAAGACAAAAAAAAAAA